rnacentral:rRNA from 1 species
UCGAAACCUGCAAAAGCAGACGACCCGCGAACACGUUAAAAAGUACCAWGGUGGAUUGGUGAAGGGUGCGAGCCCUGAUCCAGUCCGCUUGUCGGGUCGCGAAGUYGGCGGCAUCCCUUGCGGUUGUGGCCGCUCCGCGUUCUCGCACAACUUAAAAAUCCGGCGCGAUUGGCGUCAAGGAAAUCUUAGCGGAAACAAAGCGUUGUGCCUUCACCGGUACAUCGCSAAGAAUCCCAAUACUCAAACGACUCUCGGCAACGGAUAUCUCGGCUCUUGCAUCGAUGAAGAACGUAGCGAAAUGCGAUACUUGGUGUGAAUUGCAGAAUCCCGUGAACCAUCGAGUUUUUGAACGCAAGUUGCGCCCGAUGCCAUUAGGUUGAGGGCAAGGGCACGUCUGCCUGGGCGUCACACACAGCGUCGCUCCCCACCAACCUAGUUGGUGAAGAGCGGAGAUUGGCCCCCCGAGUCCUCYGGGCACGGUCGGCACAAAUAUUGGUCCCCGACAGCGAGUGUCGCGGUCAGCGGUGGUUGUAUUCUUCCUCCAAAGACAAAAUGACGCGUACCUCGUUGYGUGCGGGAUCGAAACGACCCCUGAAAGCCGUUCGCGGCAUUCACCCUGCGACCCCAGGUCAGGCGGGAUUACC